GCGGGCGUGGUGGAAUUGGCAGACACGCAGGAUUUAGGUUCCUGUUUUCUUAACGAAAGUGCGGGUUCAAGUCCCGCCGCCCGCA
rnacentral:tRNA from 1 species